rnacentral:lncRNA from 12 species
CAUCGAUAAGAGGACAGAGCACCAGGGCGGAGUUUGGGUCUCCUUGGAGGAAUGCAAGGUGCGUUUCAGAAACAACCAGAAGGAGGAUGGUGGAAGGACCCCAGUACCUUUGCCUGCCCCCGCCCUGCCCCCCCACACUCGGGCUGAGCCAUGAAGCUCCUUGCUCAGAGGGAGCAGCAGCCCUACAGCCUCCUCCUCGCUGCCACCUGGGAGACGGUCCCUGGGAGCCACCGUGCCUGGGUCCCGCCAGCAAAGGUGUGUUUCCCACGCCCUCCCGACCCAGCUGCAGGCAGACCGGCGCCCGGCACAGAGGCUCCGGGCCAGGAGCACCUGUGCUCAGAGCCCUGCUCCUCGGUCCCCAGGCCCAAGCUGUGCCACUGCCUUAGAAGCCCUGAUCCUCCAUGUCCUCUAGCGAAUUGAAUCGAGAUGUUACUAAUUCUGGGUGGAACAGCUGGACAUCACCGGUCACGCCGCCUGCGCAUCCGACGCUCCCUAAGUGGCCAUUGCAGCAAGAGCCGUCAUCAUUAUUAUUGUUUGCUGGACACUUUCUGGCUGAUUGUUAUUCCAGGGAAUGUAAGCUUCUAACUAUUUUUAUAUUAAAAACAGAACUAAAAUGGCAACUUACAGAAUCAGCAGCGUUCCACUGACUUUGGUGCAUACGUGCGCCGACUGGAGACCACAGACAGAUUUUUCCAGGCUUUAAAAGAAAUUGGUGCGCCUUAAUUAAGAAAAAAAAAAAGAAAGAAAGUUUUCUGCAAGCAUAUUAAUUAUCUCGCCUGUCACACGAGGUAUGUGUUCCAGAUGACAGGCCGUAAUUAGUGCACAGAGCAGCCCGAGGUUCCCGGGGAGAAGCCGCGUGUCUGGGAGAGCCGGGGCUGACGAGGUGGCUGGCAGGGCAGCAGGUGUGGGGGGUGAGCCGGGGCCAGGGGUCCCCCCGGGUUGAGGCGCAAGGAGGGGAGGCGAUUUGUCGCUGCCUCCCGGAGGGCACCCGGGAUGCUGCGCCUUUCCCUUGUCCCUCCCCAGGGAGAGAGUCAUCCUCUCCCACAGCCAUCGACUCAGCUGCAGAAAGAACAGCUCCGCUCCCAAAGCGGCCAACAGCCAGAGGAGGGGCCCUGCGAGGUCACCUUCGGAGCCCGAGGCUCUCCCUCCAGGCUGCACGGGGCCGCCGCAGUGUCCCCGUGGUAGGAGCGGCCUCCCUUCCUCCCUGAUUGUUGCUGUCUUCCGAGUCACCCGUUCCGUGAAUGCACAUGCUCGACGGUCACAGGUGCUGGGCUGGGGGCCUUCCCCAAGUGGAGCCAUGAGCUGGGCGGCUCCUAACUGUGGAGACGCACGUAAGCCCCGUCGAAGGGGCAGAGGGACGCUCUGGUCCACAGAGCACCUCGAUUU